ACGCUCGACACCUACGGUAGGCAGCAGUGGGGAAUAUUGCACAAUGGGGGAAACCCUGAUGCAGCGACGCCGCGUGAGCGAAGAAGUAUUUCGGUAUGUAAAGCUCUAUCAGCAGGGAAGAAACUGACGGUACCUGACUAAGAAGCACCGGCUAAAUACGUGCAAGCAGCCGCGGUAAUCUGAGCGGGCUGGCAAGGC
rnacentral:rRNA from 1 species